rnacentral:sRNA from 1 species
ACUUAUAAUUGUUGGUGCAUUAUUCUAGUGUAUGAACUUAUUAAGAGGGUAGGGCUAAAAAUCUACUAGAAAGAUAUCACUUAAAUCGAAGUUUUUUAAGUUUUGCGCAUUACGCCCAGUUUUGCGUGGGCUUAGAGAGUAAAGAAUUUAGGAUAGGUUGUAAUGGCAUACAGUUGAUUCCUACUUUCGUUGAGACUUGAGUAAAAAAAACCUUAAGUACAAAUCUAUAUGUUUUAUCUAUUAUAUAGGUUGUGGUAUCUGUCUUGAGUGAUUCUUGGGGAUUAGGCAUUUUACAUAGCUUCUAUGAAACACGUUUUGCAAAAGAGACUAAGAAUAAGUUAAUCAUAUUCAAAGAAAUUUUCUAGAAUGUUUGCUCUAAAUCAAGGGUGAAGAGUUGUAAGGAUUAAGGUACGGCUUCAGUGGCGAUCUAGCUCCUUUUUCUACAAGGUGUUUUUCUUAAAUGGAAACGGCUAAGUAGUAAUGCUUAGUGAAAAACAGAGAAAUUCUGCUAGACCUUAAACCGUAAAAUUUACUUGCAUCUCUACCAACUUAAGAUUUU